CUCCAGUGAUGACCUUAAAUUAGUGCCACGUGUCUGGGCUACUGAUGGGAUUGAGGAAUUGAGGAG